rnacentral:rRNA from 1 species
UGGGGAAUAUUGCACAAUGGGUGCAAGCCUGAUGCAGCCAUGCCGCGUGUGUGAAGAAGGCCUCGGGUUGUAAAGCACUUUCAGCGAGGAGGAAGGGUUCAGUGUUAAUAGCACUGUUCAUUGACGUUACUCGCAGAAGAAGCACCGGCUAACUCCGUGCCAGCAGCCGCGGUAAUACGGAGGGUGCAAGCGUUAAUCGGAAUUACUGGGCGUAAAGCGCACGCAGGCGGUUUGUUAAGUCAGAUGUGAAAUCCCCGCGCUUAACGUGGGAACUGCAUUUGAAACUGGCAAGCUAGAGUCUUGUAGAGGGGGGUAGAAUUCCCAGGU